AUCCAGCGGACGACUCCCAAGUAGAACGAAACGUGCGUCCUGGAU
rfam:Schistosoma haematobium scaffold1106_22, whole genome shotgun sequence.